rnacentral:rRNA from 1 species
UACGAAGGGGGCUAGCGUUGUUCGGAAUUAUUGGGCGUAAAGGGUGCGUAGGCGGUUUGGUAAGUCUUGUGUGAAAUCUACAGGCUCAACUUGUAGUCUGCACGAGAAACUGCCGGGCUUGAGUGUGGGAGAGGUGAGUGGAAUUCCUGGUGUAGCGGUGAAAUGCGUAGAUAUCAGGAGGAACACCUGUGGCGAAAGCGGCUCACUGGACCAUAACUGACGCUGAUGCACGAAAGCUAGGGGAGCAAACAGG